rnacentral:rRNA from 1 species
UACAGAGACUGCAAGCGUUAUUCGGGUUCACUGGGCGUAAAGGGUGCGCAGGCGGCCAAGUGUGUGAGGCGUGAAAGCCCGGGGCUUAACCCCGGAAUUGCACCUCAAACUACAUGGCUAGAGCAUUGGAGAGGGUAGCAGAAUUCAUGGUGUAGCAGUGAAAUGCGUAGAUAUCUGGAGGAAUACCGGUGGCGAAGGCGGCAUCCUGGACCGACAUUGACGCUGAGGAGCGAAAGCUAGGGGAGCAAACGGG